GAUGAACGCUGGCGGCGUGCUUAACACAUGCAAGUCGAACGGAAAGGCCCUGCUUUUGUUGGUUGCUCGAGUGGCGAACGGGUAAGUAACACGUGAGUAACCUGCCCUUGACUUUGGGGUAACUUCAGGAAACUGGGGCUAAUACCGGAUAGGAGCUCCUGCUGCAUGGUGGGGGUUGGAAAGUUUCGGCGGUUGGGGAUGGACUCGCGGCUUAUCAGCUUGUUGGUGGGGUAGUGGCUUACCAAGGCUUUGACGGGUAGCCGGCCUGAGAGGGUGACCGGCCACAUUGGGACUGAGGUACGGCCCAGACUCCUACGGGAGGCAGCAGUGGGGAAUAUUGCACAAUGGGCGGGAGCCUGAUGCAGCAACGCCGCGUGCGGGAUGACGGCCUUCGGGUUGUAAACCGCUUUCGCCUGUGACGACGCGUGAGUGACGGUAAUGGGUAAAGAAGCACCGGCUAACUACGUG
rnacentral:rRNA from 1 species